GACGAACGCUGGCGGCGUGCUUAACACAUGCAAGUCGAACGGGCCUUGUCCCCUUUUUUUGGGGGUGGGGUUAGUGGCGAACGGGUGAGUAACACGUGAGUAACCUGCCCCUCACUUCUGGAUAACCGCUUGAAAGGGUGGCUAAUACGGGGUGUUCUGGCCUGCUCGCAUGGGUGGGUUUGGAAAGAUUCGACCGGUUUUGGUUGUUUUGGUGGGGGAUGGGCUCGCGGCCUAUCAGCUUGUUGGUGGGGUGAUGGCCUGCCAAGGCUUUGACGGGUAGCCGGCCUGAGAGGGUGGGCGGUCACACUGGGACUGAGACACGGCCCAGACUCCUACGGGAGGCAGCAGUGGGGAAUAUUGCACAAUGGGCGCAAGCCUGACGCAGCGACGCCGCGUGAGGGAUGGAGGCCUUCGGGUUGUGAACCUCUUUCGCCAGUGAAGAAGGUCCUGCUCUUUGUGGUGGGGUG
rnacentral:rRNA from 1 species